GCUGAGGGGGCGCCGCCGCCGCCGUGGCCUUUGGAAGGCCUCGGGUGUCCCGGGAGUCCCGUAGUGCCACGUCCCAUCGGCAGCUAACUGUGUUCUGAAUCCGAACUGUGUUCUGAAUCUGGAUGUUCCUCGCUGCUCCAUCUUUGGUACCGGAAAAUUAUUUUUAAAAAGGGGCACCUUCCACUAUCCCAGGUUGCUCCAAGCCCCAUCCACCCUGGCCUUGGACGUGUCCAGGGAUGGGGCAGCCACAACUUUCUGGGGACAACCUCCAGAGGGAGCACCGCAGGUUCCACUCACACCCCCACAUACACGAAGAUGCUCACGGGAGGAAUUAACAAUCUCUCUAUGUGUGUGUA